AACCCCAGUCAAGCUAGCAAAAAUUUAUCAUCUGCCUGAUAAUAAAUGUUGGAAAUGUAAAGAAAAUGAAGGUACUUUUUUCACCUUUGGUGGACGUGCCCAAAGAUCAAGGCCUUCUGGGAAAUGAUAUAUAAUGAACUAAAAAAGGUAUUGAAAUAUACUUUCUUGAAGAAACCAGAGGCUUUCCUCUUGGGCAUGGUCGGUCAACUGGUGCGAAGGGAAGAUAGGAAUUUCUUUAUGUAUGCGACAGCAGCAGCAAGAAUACUCAUUGGGAAAUACUGGAAGACACAAGAAUUGCCUACCCGAGAAGAAUGGCAGAGAAAAGUGAUAGACUAUAUGGAACUGGCUGAGAUGACCGGCAGAAUACGAGACCAAGAAGAAGGGUCGAUGGAAGAAGAUUGGAAAAAAUUUAAAACAUAUCUUCAGAAAUACUGUAAUAUAAAAGAAUGUUAGAAAAGGUUGGAGAAGAAUAUAGACUGUAUUGGCAGACAGAGUAUAACGGAAUAAGUAAAUAUGUAGUGUAAAAUAAAAAAUAGAGGAGAAUUAAAUAUUUUUGAAUGUUAAAUUAAGUAAAUGAAAAGAAGGUUAGAAGGGUUUGCUGGAGAUAUGACUCAAAUUAGAAUACAAAGCAGAGAAGUGAGAGGAAGUCUCGGAAAUAAGUAAAUGGGAAAACGAUCCUAAUGGUUUAAUUUGAUUUUUUGUUAUUUUUGUAUUGUGAUUUUUUGUCUUUUGUAUUUUUUUCUGUAUCAUGUGUUGUUCUUUUUCUGUAGGGUGUAUGUGAUUUGUUUUUCUUUUUUUGCUUUUUUCUUUCUAUGUAAUCUUAAAAUUGGAAUAAAUAUUCUUU